rnacentral:rRNA from 1 species
GAUUAACGCGAAGAACCUUACCAGGGCUUGACAUGGGCAAGACGCGUCCAGAGAUGGGCGUUCCCGCAAGGGCUUGCCGCACAGGUGCUGCAUGGCUGUCGUCAGCUCGUGUCGUGAGAUGUUGGGUUAAGUCCCGCAACGAGCGCAACCCUCGCCUUCAGUUGCCAUCAGGUUUGGCUGGGCACUCUGAAGGAACUGCCGGUGACAAGCCGGAGGAAGGUGGGGAUGACGUCAAGUCCUCAUGGCCCUUAUGUCCUGGGCUACACACGUGCUACAAUGGCGGUGACAGCGGGAUGCCAGGUCGCAAGGCCGAGCCGAUCCCAAAAAGCCGUCUCAGUUCAGAUUGCACUCUGCAACUCGGGUGCAUGAAGGUGGAAUCGCUAGUAAUCGCGGAUCAGCACGCCGCGGUGAAUACGUUCCCGGGCCUUGUACACACCGAAUC